rnacentral:rRNA from 1 species
UACGUAGGGGGCUAGCGUUGUCCGGGUUUAUUGGGCGUAAAGAGCGUGUAGGCGGCCAGGUAGGUCUGCUGUGAAAACUCGAGGCUCAACCUCGAGACGUCGGCGGAAACCAUCUGGCUAGAGUCCGGAAGAGGAGAGUGGAAUUCCUGGUGUAGCGGUGAAAUGCGCAGAUAUCAGGAAGAACACCCGUGGCGAAGGCGGCUCUCUGGGACGGUACUGACGCUGAGACGCGAAAGCGUGGGGAGCGAACAGG